rnacentral:rRNA from 1 species
AGCAGCCGCGGUAAUUCCAGCUCCAAUAGCGUAUAUUAAAGUUGUUGCAGUUAAAAAAGCUCGUAGUUGAAUUUCGGGAUCAAAGGAUCGGUCAUGCCUUGGUAUGUACUUGGUUUUAUUGGUUCUCACCUUCUAAAGAACCAUAAUGUCAUUCAUUUGAUGUUAUGGGGAAUUAGGACUGUUACCUUAGAAAAAUUAGAGUAGUUUAAAGCAGGCUUACGCUUGAAUACAUUAGCAUGGAAUAAUGAAAUAGGACAUCAGAUUCUAUUUUGUUGGUUUCUAGGAUCGAUGUAAUGAUUAAUAGGGAUAGUUGGGGGCAUUAGUAUUCAAUUGUCAGAGGUGAAAUUCUUAGGAUUUAUUGAAGACUAACUACUGCGAAAGCAUUUGCCAAGGAUGUUUUCAUUAAUCAAAGAACGAAAGUUAGGGGAUCGAAGACGAUCAGAUACCGUCGUAGUCUUAACCAAUAAACUAUGCCGACGUAGGGAUCGGAUGAUUGUUUAAUUUUUAAUGUACUCAUUCC